rnacentral:tRNA from 1 species
GGAGUUGUGGCUCAGUGGUAGAGCACUUGCCUAGCAUGUGUGAGGCCCUGGGUUCAAUUCUCAGCAUCACAU